AAUGGAAGCUUAGUUGUCGCUAUGAUUAGAGGAAAGUCCGGGCUCCAUGGAGAAAAGGUGCCGGUUAAUGGCCGGCGAGUGUAAAAACUUAGGGAAAGUGCCACAGAAAAUAUACCUCCUACUGAAAAGUUGGGAAGGGUGAAAUGGUGCGGUAAGAGCGCACCGCUGAUUUGGCAACAGAUCAGGCAUGGCAAACCCCACCUGGAGCAAAUUUAAGCAAAGAGUUGGUUCUUCACUAAUGCUCUUGGGUUAAAUGCUAUAAUUUUACAGCAAUGUAAAAUAGAGACAAAUGACAACUUAAUACAAAACCCGGCUUAUAAGCUUCUAUUAAAA
rnacentral:RNase_P_RNA from 1 species